rnacentral:rRNA from 1 species
AGUGAACGCUGGCGGUAGGCCUAACACAUGCAAGUCGAACGGCAGCACAGUAAGAGCUUGCUCUUACGGGUGGCGAGUGGCGGACGGGUGAGGAAUACAUCGGAAUCUACUUUUACGGGGGGGACAACGUGGGGAAACUUACGCUAAUACCGCAUACGACCUACGGGUUAAAGCAGGAGAGCUUCGGACCUUGCGCGACUGAAUGAGCCGAUGUCGGAUUAGCUAGUUGGCGGGGUAAAGGCUCACCAAGGCAACGAUCCGUAGCUGGUCUGAGAGGAUGAUCAGCCACACUGGAACUGAGACACGGUCCAGACUCCUACGGGAGGCAGCAGUGGGGAAUCUUGGGCAAUGGGCGCAAGCCUGACGCAGCCAUGCCGCGUGAGUGAAGAAGGUCUUCGGGUUGUAAAGCUCUUUUGUUGGGAAAGAAAAGAAGCAGGUUAAACUCCGGCUGUUCUGACGGUACCCAAACAGUAAGCCACGGCUAACUUCGUG